UACGUAGGGUGCGAGCGUUGUCCGGAAUUAUUGGGCGUAAAGGGCUCGUAGGCGGUCUGUCGCGUCGGGAGUGAAAACUCAGGGCUUAACCCUGAGCCUGCUUCCGAUACGGGCAGACUAGAGGUAUGCAGGGGAGAACGGAAUUCCUGGUGUAGCGGUGGAAUGCGCAGAUAUCAGGAGGAACACCGGUGGCGAAGGCGGUUCUCUGGGCAGUACCUGACGCUGAGGAGCGAAAGUGUGGGGAGCGAACAGG
rnacentral:rRNA from 1 species